rnacentral:snRNA from 1 species
CGAUGUGGCAGUAAUCUGGCUGAGACAUCUGUCACUUCAUUGAGCACCAGGGUUUAUUUGGCCGAUCUGGUUGGUUAGGUGUGUGUUCGCAUCUUCCCUCAAAGCUCCACGUGCGUCUCUUACAAAGGCUUAGUCAAAGAGAACAACCUUCCCUGAUAGAGGAGAACAGGUUUUCCAUCAAGGGUUUAUAAGUAGUUGUGCCCUGCUAGAAUCUCCAAACAAGCUCUCAAGGCAGUUGUCUGUAAACCGAGAACUCAGAGUCAAGGUAGGACAAUCAUGAGUUAAAGGCUAGCCUCAGCUGUGCAGUGAGUUUGA